AAUCAACGCUGGCGGCGUGCCUAACACAUGCAAGUCGCACGAGAAAGGGUAGCAAUACCUGAGUACAGUGGCGCACGGGUGAGUAACACGUGAAUUAUCUACCUCCGAGUGGGGAAUAACUGAGAGAAAUCUUAGCUAAUACCGCAUAACACUUACGAGUCAAAGCAGCAAUGCGCUUGGAGAGGAGUUCGCGGCAGAUUAGUUAGUUGGCGGGGUAANGGCCCACCAAGACGAUGAUCUGUAUCCGGCCUGAGAGGGCGCACGGACACACUGGAACUGAAACACGGUCCAGACUCCUACGGGAGGCAGCAGUGGGGAAUUUUGCGCAAUGGGGGAAACCCUGACGCAGCAACGCCGCGUGGAGGAUGAAAUAUCUUGGUAUGUAAACUCCUUUCGA
rnacentral:rRNA from 1 species